rnacentral:rRNA from 1 species
GACGAACGCUGGCGGCGUGCUUAACACAUGCAAGUCAAGGGGGCCCAGCAAUGGGCAACCGGCGAACGGGUGCGUAACACGUGAGCAACCUACCGAACUGUGGGGGAUAGCCGGCCUAACGGCCGAGUAAUACCGCAUACGCUCUCAGGGAGGCAUUUCUUUGAGAGGAAACCUACGGGACAGAUCGAGGGGCUCGCGGCCUAUCAGCUAGUUGGCGAGGUAACGGCUCACCAAGGCAACGACGGGUAGCUGGUCUGAGAGGAUGGCCAGCCACAUUGGGACUGAGAUACGGCCCAGACUCCUACGGGAGGCAGCAGUGGGGAAUCUUGCGCAAUGGCCUAACGGCUGACGCAGCGACGCCGCGUGUGGGAUGAAGCUCUUCGGAGUGUAAACCACUGUUGCCCGGGACGAACAGCUCGAUUUCUCGAGCCUGACGGUACCGGGUGAGGAAGCACCGGCUAACUCCGU